AGUGAACGCUGGCGGUAGGCCUAACACAUGCAAGUCGAACGGCAGCACAGUAAGAGCUUGCUCUUACGGGUGGCGGGUGGCGGACGGGUGAGGAAUACAUCGUAAUCUACUUUUUCGGGGGGGUUAACGUAGGGAAACUUACGCUAAUACCGCAUACGACCUACGGGUGAAAGCGGGGGAUCUUCUGACCUUGCGCGAUUGAAUGAGCGGAUGUCGGAUUAGCUAGUUGGGGGGGUAAAGGCCCACCAAGGCGACGAUCGGUAGCCGGUCUGAGAGGAGGAUCAGCCACACUGGAACUGAGACACGGUCCAGACUCCUACGAGAGGCAGCAGUGGGGAAUAUUGGACAAUGGGCGCAAGCCUGAUCCAGCCAUACCGCGUGUGUGAAGAAGGCCUUCGGGUUGUAAAGCCCUUUUGUUGGGAAAGAAAAGCAGCAGGUUAAUACCCCGCUGUUCUGACGGUACCCAAAGAAUAAGCACCGGCUAACUUCGUG
rnacentral:rRNA from 1 species